AUCCUUUUGUGGUUCAUAAUGUGAUGACCAGGUUUUCAUGCCCAUGUGUGAAGUGCGCCUCCCUCCAAUCUUGUUAAGAUGUCAGCACAUUUGCCUUCUGACA
ensembl:snoRNA